CGGCCGCGUCGACGGCAGAGGGAAUUCCUGGUGUAGCGGUGAAAUGCGUAGAGAUCAGGAAGAACAUCGGUGGCGAAGGCAGCACACUAAGCCGUAACUGACGUUCAUGCUCGAAAGUGUGGGUAUCAAACAGGAUUAGUACCCUGGUAGUCCACACGGUAAACGAUGGAUACUCGCUGUUGGCGAUAUACAGUCAGCGGCCAAGCGAAAGCAUUAAGUAUCCCACCUGGGGAGUACGCCGGCAACGGUGAAACUCAAAGGAAUUGACAGG
rnacentral:rRNA from 1 species